UUUAUGUGUUUGUUGUUUUAUUUAAGUUAUUUGUGGCAGUUAUUUUGCAUUGUGUUGAUUCAAUAAACAUUUAUACUAUAAUUAUUUUUCUGAAAAUACAUUUUCCUAACGGACCUCAAAGAAACUAAAUCCACCUCUGCUCAGACGUGAGAUUACAGAAAAGAAAUAUUCUCAGUUUAUCAAUCUUUAUAGUGUUAAAUGCUUUUCGACAACCCUGUGAAAUUAUGUUCACUCAGCAUCGUUCAACCGUAAAAUUUUAAAAGGUCGUGUUUUCUUUUUGGUUCAGUUCUUCAGACCGAGCCUCGUCAGGAAACACGAAUAAAAACCGGCCCACGGGACCAGGAUCGUUUUGUGUGUUUCUUAAGAGGUUUUGGGAGAACGGUGUGAUGGCUCGCAGCUCAGAGGCCCUCCAUGUYAGGAACUUCGCCUAAAUCAACAGUCGCCCUGCAGUUCUGGCGCGCAGGAAAACCUUAACGAUUAUAAUGGGCCCAUAAAAAACAGAAACCUGCCAUACACUGUGAUGGACGACACACACAGAAUGGUGUGUGUUUAGUACAAGGCGAUAUUCAGUCACUAAAGAUGAAGACAGAGUAGUCAUUUUAUGUCUGUGUGUGUUAAUCGGUAUUAUUAAUAAAAUAUCUUAGAUUGUGAA